AGAAGAAAUAACCUCAUUGUCCGACGAUGUUUUAAAAGUUUGUUUUUAAUGAAUGCUGAUAUAAUUUUGUGAUUAAUAAAAAACACAAUGGGCAGAAAAAAUGCUACAAGUUCGGCAAAAAGCAAAGAAAAGCGCAUGCAAAGGAAAGAGGAACAACAAAGAAUCAGUCAGGCUAUGUCCAUUAUUGCUUUGGCGAAUCAACUAGAGGAUCCAUUGGCUGAUUUUCCAGUAUUCCAAAAUUUUAAUAAGAAUGGCAUAUCUUGCCAUUUGUUUGUUAAAAGGAGUUCCAAACUAAGCGAAACAGAAAAGGGUUGGAUUUUUAAUUUAACCAAGAAAAAUAUGCAGUUAAAAUAUGAACAAUGUUCUUGGGGUUGGAAUGAUAAGAAAAAAAUGGAAGAAUUGUAUGAUGAAAGGGCUUGGUUUUUGUUGGCAGCAAACUGUAUUGAUCAAAGUUAUUUAGCUUUUUCUCACUUUAGAUUUGAUAUUGACAUGGGCAUUGAAGUUCUUUAUUGUUAUGAACUCCAACUAGAAACACAUGUGCAAAGGAAGGGUCUUGGUAAAUUUAUGAUGCAAGUUCUAGAGUUGAUGGCAUUCAAGAACAAUAUGAAAAAAGUUGUCUUAACGGUACUUAAAAAUAAUCCCAACUCUAAGUUCUUUAAAGCAAUAGGAUACGAAUUAGACGAAUCUUGUCCAAUCGACGAUGAAGAAGAAACCUACCCAUAUGAAAUCUUAAGCAAACUAAAUAAAAGGUUAGCUUCAGCUUUGCCAGCCGUAAACGUUAGAAAUCCUAAUCACAUUUAUGAUAACAAUCAAGGACACAGUCACUCAAAUGGCCACUGCUGCCCAGGACAUCUUCACUGAUUAUCUCAAUUUGAAUUCGGUUUGAUAUGUUUUUUUAAACUUGUAAGUAUUAUUUUUGUAAUAAAACAAUAAAAUAGUCAAUGAACAGUAAAAAUUUAUGGGAUUAUAAAUAAGUUAAUGUUUUACAAAAGAGUCGCCCGAAGAUUCGCUUCUCUAACAAUUCAAUGGAAACAAUUUUAAUAUGUUACAACAGCCUGGCAAAAAAAUAUCGGUACACAUUCCUUCUUUCAUGGAAAUGGAUUCCUAGUUAUUGAGUACUCCUUAUGAGCGUGUCCGCGCAGGCCUCCAAUUCUUCAAUUUUAUGCCCCUUAAAUGUCGAAAACAAUUCUUGGCUCUCACAGAUCGUUGUAUAACCCAGCACCGGAACAAUCGAUUAUGCAAUGUAGUUUUUUUGCCCACUUUAACUUAAUAAAGUUUCGUGUUUGCAGUUUUAAGUUUGAAGUGAGCGACUUUGAGAUUUUAAAAAUAGCAAAUAGAAAUGAACUAUGCAUUUUAGUCAGGUUGAUAUCUUCAAAACUGAAACGUGUAAAUAAAAGUAUAAGCCGUCAAGUGGGUUAGUCAUAUCCUAACAGAACUUGAUCUUUUGUAAAAUGACAAUCUCCCUACGCAAUAUAUUUCGAAAAUUUCGUAUAGCAAGGGGUAAAUAAAUUGUAGAUUUUAAAAAUUUUAUUUGAUUCCCAAAAUUCUUUUUUGAAAAUUAUGAACAAAAGUGGUAUUAGAUUGUAAGUGCUUAAAAAUUUUGUUUAUAAGGCGUUAAAAUCUUGGAACUCUAGAAUGUUGAUGUUUGGCACUGUGUAAAACUUCGGUCGUUUGGACCCUAAACAUUUUGGAAAUUAGAAAUUCAAAGAGUUGCAAAACUGUUAUCUGACUUUUAUUUGCUUAUUAGUUAAUUAGAAAAUGUUGAUCUAGUCGUCAUACAUUAAUGGCUUUGAUUAUUGAAAUUUACGAAAUCUUUUUUUUUAAUUUUUUUUUUCAAAUUUAAUUUAGCGCUGGUACAGGCAUAUACAAUAUAGCUACUAUACUUUUAUGUAGCAUAUAUGUUGUUUGAUUUCAAAUUCAAAAUUGGCUAUUUGAGUUAGACUUAGAUCACUGAUAGCGGAAUUUCCGUCUCUCUGUAAGUAUAUUAGUGCUGUAUUUUUGAAAAAUGUUGGUGCAUCUCAAGGGGUUAUUAAGAGGAAUAAGGAAGAAAUACGGAUAUCUACCCUUUUUUUGUAAAUUUUAAGUAAGUACACCAGAGGUAUUAAUUUUUUCCGAAAUUUUAAACUACACAUGGGCAUAUUGGGAUAUACGGACAUUAAAUGAUUGGAAUAAAUAUCAUUUGUCGCAGAAAAAAUCAAUCCGCAACUUUUCAUAACCUUCAAGUAAUGUAAUCACUGGCUUAAUAAAGCAAAAAUUAUCUUGGAUAUCUGUGCAUAAAACUGUAAUCGGCGUUGAUUGUUUUUACGCGAGUAAUAUGACUAAUAAUGACUAUAUUGUAUUUAUUUAUCAACUGUGCUGUAUAAUCGCUUUUAACGUAUAAGUUAUGAGCGCUCGCAUUAUUCUCCAGACCCUUAUAUAUAUCGCACAUUGUAAGGUGACUCGAAUAAAGUUGUUUUUAAAAAACUCACCCUGCGUAUCGACCAUUUAACUGAUGCAGUCGUUAGAUUUUUUCCGAGUUAAGUUUAUUGAACAUUUAAUUUCCGUGUCAACGGUCAAUCGGGCAAUUCACCUUUAAAAGUAGUUUAACGGUUCGAAGGAGUAUCGGGUCGUGAAUCGAAAGACUUUCGAAAGGACACCAUGUAGAGACAGAAGAAACAACAGUUCGAGUUGCUGCUAGAGUAGGAAGACCUGGGAAGGAACAAAAAUUGUCCGAUCCUAUAGGCACCGUAGCAUUAAGAAAAGAAAGAGGAAAACGAAGAAUCAGAAACAGAACAUGAAAACCAUUUCACUAUUUGGCGUCGACAUUAUCGGAGUUAGAUUAGAAGAACCAAAAUUUCAUAAUUUGAAUUUGAUAUUACGAAACUUAUAGAAGAAUUCUCCAAAUUAAAACUUAACUAUUUGUAAACCAAGAAAAUCUUUGGUAAUAUUACUGACCCAAAUCUAAAGGAUAAAAAAAUAUAACAGGUAACCUUAACCAAAACGAUGAAAGGUAUGAUAAAGCUAUUAAUAUGUUGACAGAGAACCAAAGUAAAAUUAAAAAGACAAUGAUUAACCAAAUAACAACAACCCUUUUAAACCAGAUGGAAACAUUAAUAGUAAAAUAUAUAUUAAUAGUAAAAAAUAUAUAAUCAAAAAAGAAUUUUUUAUACCCUGCAAAGGAUAGAAGUUGCAAUUAGCUUUGCUAAACUAAAUAUAUUUCAUAAUUCCAUUACUGAACCAACUUAUCUACUAUUAGAAAUCCAAAAAGCUAGUAAAUAUAUUAAAGGAAAUAAAUUCCCUUUUCGAAAUAAACCUUAAGAAUAUUCUAUAUUUUGAAAGAAAUAUGAAUAUUAAAAGUUACUCUAAGAAAAAUCAAAUUUUCUUUAAAAUAGAAAUCCAAAUUAUACUACUACUAUACUACUACUAUUUAUAUUUCUUACCUACUCCGAAAACUAACACAUUUGAAACUAUUGUCCCCCGUUCAAAAUUCCUUAUUCUAAACGAGCAAAUCUAUUUAUUCUUUGAUGAAAAAUGUAACGAUUUAACAGAAGAAUUUAUAUGCCAAGACCUACAAACGUCAACCAUAAUAGAAGUAAAUAUGCCUUGUGAAAUACUACUUUUAAAAUAUGUAGUAAACGCUAUUAACUAAACACCUGUCUCUACUCUGCUAAAUAAUAUUAAGAUACAGAAAAGAACCAGUGGAUCCUCAUCACACCCAAGAAGUUCGUAGUAACUCAAAAAUGUGACAACUCUAAGGAAAAUACUUUUAUUAACGGAACGUACGUAGUGGAAAUAAAUAAUCGAUGUGAAAUCUACGUCCAAAAUAUGAUCCUAUGAAGACCUGAACUCAAAUUUUAAGAAAUUGGAACUGACCUUGGUACCAAUUUCACCGUACCUAGAAGCCAGAAAGGAAAAUUUGAAUCAACUUAAAAUCGACGAAGUCAACUUGCCGAAGUCCGAAAAAUCUACCAAACCCUCGACGUACAGAAACAAGAAGAACUAUCUACCGGGAAUUUAAAACUCUAUGAAACCAGUAUAUAUACAGUUCUUUUCUUAUUUAAUUUUAACAAAAUGUCUCAAAAUAACCUUUUGUGAACUUAUAUUUAAAAACCAGAAAAUUAAUAAUGAAGAAGUUUCCCUAAAAGAAAGAAGUAAACAAGGACGAAGACAAGCAGAUACCGAGAGAAGACCAGUUUCCCUCUCGUUUGCCCCGUACUAUUAGCUACCCUAUAAUUCUUCACUAAGUCCGGGCGAGUUAUAUGACUAAUAAUGACUAUAUUGUAUUUAUUUAUCAACUGAGCUGUAUAAUCACUUUUAAGAUAUGAGCGCUUGUAUUAUUUUCCAGACUUUUAUAGUGUAUUGCACAUUGUAAGGUCUCUGUGACUCGAAUAAAGUUGUUUUUAAAAAACUCACCCUGCGUAUCGAACCUUUAACUUGCGACAGACGAAUGUAACAAAUACUUAAGCGUUUUUUGCAACAGUGGGCUUUUUAUUUUUUGUAAAGUAAUGUUUAGCAAUUAAUUACUAACACUUGUAACAAAUUAUAUAAAUUUAUAUUAUGAUUAAAAUAUCAUCCGUUUCGAUAAUGAUAAUUGACCUUGGGGAAUGACUAUUCCUUGUGACAAUAGAAGCUAAUGCGUAAUUUUCAACUAAAACUCCAUAGCACUUUGGACCAAAUUAAAGAAAGUAAAAAAAUGUUAGAACAGAGC